AUAAUAUCAACCCUCUUCUCUUGUUGAGUGUUGGAUGUGGGGGUUGUUGCUGGCUCCUCUUUUGUGAGGGUCAGCUCCCCUAAAAUCCAUUAGCGGAACAAUUUGUUGACCGUUCGUUGGUGUGAUAAGUUAUCUACGCUAUUGAACGUGAGGCAGUUCAGCUUCUAACUGUCCAUUGACUUGGACAAAUCUUUUUUUUUCAUUGA
rnacentral:misc_RNA from 1 species